UCGCACAUUGUCUGGGAGUGAGGCAACUUGGUUUCCAGUCCCAGCUCUGUGGCUCAAUUGCUGUACGGCCUUGAGCAACACACCUCCUUUCUUGAGGUUUCAGUUUCUUUAUUUCACAGUGAUAUCUGGACAGGUUACACAACGCUUACAGCCUGAGUUUGGCAUUCAAGGCCCCUCGUGCUCUGGCUCCUAUCCUCUGCAGGGCCGUUUCCAGUCUCUCCUCCUAAUGAACCCUUCUCUGGCCAUGCCCCACUCUUUCAGGUACAUUCUGUUCCUUCUGCCUGGAAUUCUGUUUCUGCUAUUCCUCUCUCAAGAGGCAACUCAGAUGCCCGGGUAGGACACUGUUCUAAGCUAUUUGCACAUAUGGUCCCAGUGGUCCUCAAAUUUUAGCUGUGCAUGAGAAUCAUUUGGAGGCUUGUUAAACCACAGCUUGCUGGGACCUGCACCCAGAGCUUUUGAUGCAGCAGGUUUGGGCAGAGCGUGAGGAUUUGCAUUUCUUUUUUUUUUUUCUUUAGAAAUGUUUUUAUUUGUUUUUGAGACAGAGAGAGACAGAGCGUGAGUGGGGGAGGGGCAGAGAGAGAGGGAGACACAGAAUCUGAAGCGGGCUCCAGGCUCUGAGCUGUCAGCACAGAGCCCGACGCGGGGCUCGAACUCAUGGAGUGUGAGAUCAUCCGAGUGUGAGAUCAUGACCUGAGCUGAAGUCGGCCACUCAACCGACUGAGCCACCCAGGUGCCCCAAGGAUUUGCAUUUCUAACAAGCCCAGGGAGAAGUGAAUUCAAGCGGUGCUGGAAAGGCCAAGGGGCCUGCCGAACUUACUGUACGAGUCAUGAAACCUACAU